UUUAAAAACGAGUUUCCCUAGACAAGCGCUCUCUUUUUACCUGCAGCCAACCACGUAAGAUGUUACUUGCUUCUCCUUGCUUUCCACUAUGAAUGUGAGGCCUCCCCAGCCUUGUGGAACUGUAAGUCCAUUAAACCUCUUUUUUUUUUGUAAAUUGCCCUGUCUCAGGUAUGUCUGUAUGAGCAACGUAAAAAUGGACAAAUACACUAAAGCAUAGUAAUUUACUUAUUCUCUUUUUGUUUGUAUGUUUUCUUGUUUGUUGAGAUAAUAGGAUAUAUACCCUAAUGUGCCCACAUUUUAAGAACACACUUUGAUGAAAUUUUAUAUGUGUCUACACCUGUGCAAUCAUUUCUCAGUUCAAGAAAAAGAAGAUUUCCUGGACUCCAGGAAGUCAUCUCCCUUGUGCAACCUGUCAGUCUUACCAUUCCCACCACACACAUAAACACAUACCCAGAUAACCACCUUUCAACUUCUACCAAUUGGAAGAGAUUUGAGUUACCCCAAGUUACCAGUGGCAAAUCCCUAUGGGUCUGCAGCAACUUUAGUUCUUG
rnacentral:lncRNA from 10 species